UAGGGAAUAUUGGUCAAUGGACGCAAGUCUGAACCAGCCAUGCCGCGUGGAGGAUGAAGGUCCUCUGGAUUGUAAACUUCUUUUAUAUGGGACGAAAAAGGGCCUUUCCAGGUCAACUGACGGUACCAUAUGAAUAAGCACCGGCUAACUCCGUG
rnacentral:rRNA from 1 species